GUGGGGAAUAUUGCACAAUGGAGGAAACUCUGAUGCAGCAACGCCGCGUGAAGGAUGAAGGUUUUCGGAUUGUAAACUUCUUUGAUUGGGGACGAAUAAAUGACGGUACCCAAGGAACAAGCCACGGCUAACUACGUGCCAGCAGCCGCGGUAAUACGUAGGUGGCGAGCGUUGUCCGGAAUUACUGGGUGUAAAGGGCGUGUAGGCGGGACUGUAAGUCAGAUGUGAAAUUCCAGGGCUUAACUCUGGAGCUGCAUCUGAAACUAUAGUUCUUGAGUGCUGGAGAGGAAAGCGGAAUUCCUAGUGUAGCGGUGAAAUGCGUAGAUAUUAGGAGGAACACCAGUGGCGAAGGCGGCUUUCUGGACAGUAACUGACGCUGAGGCGCGAAAGCGUGGGGAGCAAACAGGAUUAGAAACCCUAGUAGUCC
rnacentral:rRNA from 1 species